GCUUACGGCCAUACCACCCUGAGAAUGCCUGAACUCGUGUGAUCUUGGAAGCUAAGCAGGAUCGGGCCUGGUUAGUACGUGGAUGGGAGACCGCCUGGGAAUACCAGGUGCUGUAAGCU
rnacentral:rRNA from 1 species